rnacentral:rRNA from 1 species
UACGUAGGGACCAAGCGUUGUUCGGAUUUACUGGGCGUAAAGGGCGCGUAGGCGGCGCGGUAAGUCACUUGUGAAAUCUCCGGGCUUAACUCGGAACGGUCAGCUGAUACUGCUUUGCUAGAGUACAGAAGGGGCAAUCGGAAUUCUUGGUGUAGCGGUGAAAUGCGUAGAUAUCAAGAGGAACACCUGAGGUGAAGACGGGUUGCUGGGCUGAUACUGACGCUGAGGCGCGAAAGCUAGGGUAGCAAACGGG